rnacentral:rRNA from 1 species
GAUGAACGCUGGCGGCGUGCCUAAUACAUGCAAGUCGAACGAAGAUCUAGCUUGCUAGAUCUUAGUGGCGAACGGGUGAGUAAUACAUAAAUAAUCUGCCCAUAUGACUGGGAUAACUAUUGGAAACGAUAGCUAAUACCGGAUAGGUUGAUCGGAGGCAUCUCUGAUGAAUUAAAGUAGGAUUUCUACACAAAUGGAUGAGUUUAUGGCGCAUUAGUUAGUUGGUGGGGUAACGGCCUACCAAGACGAUGAUGCGUAGCCGACCUGAGAGGGAGACCGGCCACACUGGGACUGAGAGACGGCCCAGACUCCUACGGGAGGAAGCAGUAGGGAAUUUUCGGCAAUGGGCGCAAGCCUGACCGAGCAACGCCGCGUGAGUGAUUAAGGCCUUCGGGUUGUAAAGCUCUGUUGUAAGGGAAGAACAUUCAGGAUAGGAAAUGAUCUUGAACUGACGGUACCUUACCAGAAAGCCACGGCUAACUACGUGCCAGCCGCCGCGGUAAAAC